UACGUAGGGGGCUAGCGUUGUCCGGAAUCAUUGGGCGUAAAGAGCGUGUAGGCGGUUUGGUAAGUCUGCUGUGAAAGUCCAGGGCUCAACCCUGGAAUGCCGGUGGAUACUGUCAGACUAGAGUGCGGAAGAGGCGAGUGGAAUUCCCGGUGUAGCGGUGAAAUGCGCAGAUAUCGGGAGGAACACCAAUUGCGAAGGCAGCUCGCUGGGACGUUACUGACGCUGAGACGCGAAAGCGUGGGGAGCGAACAGG
rnacentral:rRNA from 1 species